rnacentral:misc_RNA from 1 species
AAAUGCGAGAAGUAAUGUGAAUUGCAAAUUCAGUGAAUCAUCGAGUCUUUGAACGCACAUUGCGCCCCCUGGUAUUCCGGGGGGCAUGCCUGUCCGAGCGUCAUUUCUGCCCUCAAGCACGGCUUGUGUGUUGGGCCCCGUCCUCCGAUCCCGGGGGACGGGCCCGAAAGGCAGCGGCGGCACCGCGUCCGGUCCUCGAGCGUAUGGGGCUUUGUCACCCGCUCUGUAGGCCCGGCCGGCGCUUGCCGAUCAACCCAAAUUUUUAUCCAGGUUGACCUCGGAUCAGGUAGGGAUACCCGCUGAACUUAAGC